UUAAUAAAUAAUAUUAAAUUGGAAAAUCAAUUAUUUUAACAUUUGGGUUAGAAGAGACAGCCACAAAUAACCGUAUGUGAUGGUAAGAACCUUGUGAUGCCUACCUCGGAAAGAAAAGCUACCACCCUUCUAUUGAAGGGUUGACUGUUUCUUCUUUGAAUGUCAUAAAGGUCCUUCAUGGAGUGUUCUGAUGGGCUGCUGUGGGAUGUCCCAGGUCUGCCCCUCAAACAUCAUGGCUCCCAUUUAUGUGACCCCUAUGCAUGUACUGGAGUGCCUGGCUUCCUCCCCUGCACAGUGUCCUUGCACUAGUAAAGGGACAAGUUUGUGAAUGCAGGUAACAAACAAAUACAGGAGCAGGGAAAACAGAUGCUAUCACAAUUCAUCCUCUCUAUUCAUUUCCAAGGGAAUAAUCAAGACUUUGGAGAAAACUAGGUAGGUCAUCCAAUGAAUUUCCCCAUUUGGGGUUGCAUGAAAUAUGACAUAUACUGAAACACUGGGAGGGGUGCAGAGAGAAAGAAGGAGAGGGAAGGAGGAAGCGAGCAGAGAGAGACAUAAAGAGAGAGGGAAAUAUGAGAAGCAAAGAAUAUUUAAUUUGGCAUAAUAUGUCAUUUCAAUCCUCAAAUUCAAUAUGAAAUUUGUAGCAAGAUAAUCUCUGCUUAGAUUCAUGCAAAUUGACUUCUAUCACUCAUUUCCUAAAGCUUUCCUUUUCUUUCUUUAUUUUUGUUUUUCUUCAGAUCGUAUAAAUCUUUCGCCUUUUAUUUUUGUUUUUUAAGUGCAUGAAGAAGACAAUGUUAUAGUCCAGAAGAGGACAAAGUGAUUAUGAGUGAUACCAAAUGGUGACUCAAGCCCAUUGUUGCAUAGAUGAGUAUCUAUGACAUUCAGGAGUUAAGGGCAUACUUGGGGUGUAUAUAGGAAGAGAAAGUGCUGGACAAAUAUUUCUGGGGCUGAUUCCAAAGUGCUGGAAAUCAGGUUGCCCACAGAUAUUCAUCAUAUGUUACUAUGGGCUAAGUACAGGCAAGGCACUGAGGGUGCAGCACAGAACUAGAUGGUGUCCGUGUCUUCACGGGUCUCACUCACUUCCAAGGAGUGACAAAUAGAUAACGAAAUCCAUCAAGAGAUGAAGAAACAACAUAGGGCAAUAUAUGAAGAGUGCUGAGAGAGCAGUGUGAGAUUACCAAGGAAGGCUGAGGAGGCCAUUUUAAGGAGAUGACAUUUAAGCUGACAUGCAAGGAGAAAGGCAAGUAAAAGAUACCAAGACAAAGGAUUCUGCAUCAGUUGAUAAACAAAAACCUACACUGAAGAAAAUUCUUUACACUGUUCCAGAAAUGGCACGUUUUAUAUUUUCUUAUCAAAAUAAAAGCUACACUUUUAACCCAA